rnacentral:rRNA from 1 species
UACGAAGGGUGCAAGCGUUACUCGGAAUUACUGGGCGUAAAGCGUGCGUAGGCGGUUUGUUAAGUCUGUCGUGAAAGCCCCAGGCUCAACCUGGGAAUGGCGAUGGAAACUGGCGAGCUAGAGUACGGUAGAGGAGAGUGGAAUUCCCGGUGUAGCAGUGAAAUGCGUAGAGAUCGGGAGGAACAUCAGUUGCGAAGGCGGCUCUCUGGACCAGUACUGACGCUGAGGCACGAAAAGCGUGGGGGAGCAAACAGG